UACGUAGGGUGCGAGCGUUGUCCGGAAUUAUUGGGCGUAAAGGGCUCGUAGGCGGUUUGUCGCGUCGGGAGUGAAAACUCAUGGCUUAACCCUGAGCCUGCUUCCGAUACGGGCAGACUAGAGGUAUGCAGGGGAGAACGGAAUUCCUGGUGUAGCGGUGAAAUGCGCAGAUAUCAGGAGGAACACCGGUGGCGAAGGCGGUUCUCUGGGCAUGUCCUGACGCUGAGGAGCGAAAGUGUGGGGGGCGAACAGG
rnacentral:rRNA from 1 species